UGCCAGAGGAGAAGGACAUCUCUCACAAGCUGCUGGAGCGCAGACCUGACAGCAACCACUAUAGCGCCUGAGAUCUGGAAGGACUGCCAGAGCUGCCAGUCACCGAGGAAUUGCUGGGGCUGCUCUUAUCCAUUUAUCCCUGUGAGACAGACAAUGACCCAGGGCAGAGCCUCCUGACUGUGCUACCCUGCCGAGUGGCAGAGACCCUGGUGUUAAUUCCCCCCUAAACUGUGCCCUUCCAGAGGACUUGUAGUGAGGCGGCAUGGCCUCUGUCCCAGACAGAUGGAGGGACAACUGUGACCACCUUACAAAGACUCAUUGUGUUCCCAGAAACACUGUUGUAAAGAGCAGCUGUCUUGGAGUGACAGACUGGGCAUGUUGAUGAACCCAAAUGGAAGUGAGGCCAGGAAGUCAAAAAAAAAACCUGUCCCCAGGCUUCUGAAUACAUCCUUACUCAUGGGGUACCGACUGAUGAACACUUCUUUAAUCCAUCUGUAGUUGGCUGUAUUAAUCUAGUGUUGCUUAUUUCAUGGCCUCUCUUUUCCCUUUUAACAUGUGAUGUAUUCGUUAACAAUCCCCCAAACACCCGUAGUCCAGAAAACUGACUGUCUUGGCUACGAGGUUAGCUGCACCCUGUCUUUCUCUGAGUGCACCUCUCAGAUGACCAGUCGCAAGCUCUUGCUUCUCUUGGCAUGGACUCGUGCAGUUCUCGCAUUCUUCACUCAGGACCUGGGUUACAGAUCCCUAUAUACUGGCCAUGAUUACUUCAACAGGCCCAACUUGAGUUCAGUACCUGAAGAUCUGCCCUUUGUGAACUGUGACCAGUGCUAUAUAUAAGGAAUUGUAUAUCAAGGCUAUAUUGCAUGUAGCCUCUAAACAAAUUAGUGUUGAUUCUUAACAGUAGGACCCCACAUAACAUAAAGGAACAAGGAUUUCAAAAUAAUAAAAGUCUAUUUACCCAGAUAUCCCUCCCCCAAUGUUGGCCAGGUAGGUUCAACUGCUUCAGACUCUCUCCAUGGACCCUCUCUCUGAGGCAGCCUGCUCCCCCUGACAACUGACCAGUCUUUCUAGAGAGAGCAACUUUUUAACUGUUUCCUGUCCUUUUGAUCUACAGCUCCCAUCCCUAGUAAAAUAGGUCUUUUUAUUUUGCUGGAGCCAAGGUGGGUAGGCUUGCCCCAAUUAAUAGCCUAGUCAAUGUUCUCUUAACUCCAAAGUGUUUUACCUGGAAUGUCUUAUCUCUAGUCAUUUUCAUUCCGUGCUUUGUUUUUCCUAGCAGCCCCUUUUGACUUAACUCCAUACAGUCAGACAGUAAACAGCCCUUACAGCACUUGGACAAAAUAUAGUAUUCACUAAUUAAUACAGAGCAGUUGCACGUUCUUCUUAUUUACAGUCAGGUUGUUAAUGAAUCCCCCUCCAGUUC